rnacentral:rRNA from 1 species
CAGCAGCCGCGGGAAUACGAAGGGUGCAAGCGUUAAUCGGAAUUACUGGGCGUAAAGCGUGCGUAGGCGGUGAGUUAAGUCUGCUGUGAAAUCCCCGGGCUCAACCUGGGAAUGGCAGUGGAUACUGGCAAGCUAGAGUGUGGCAGAGGGGGGUGGAAUUCCGCGUGUAGCAGUGAAAUGCGUAGAUAUGCGGAGGAACACCGAUGGCGAAGGCAGCCCCCUGGGCCAACACUGACGCUCAUGCACGAAAGCGUGGGGAGCAAACAGGAUUAGAUACCCCCGUAGUCCCUGUCUCUUAUAA